rnacentral:lncRNA from 1 species
CAAGCGCGGGCGACGGGGAGGCGGAGCGGGCCGACGAGGAGAGCGGGAGGCGCCGGCGUAGAGGGAGAGAGGCGCGCGGGCGACGGGUGAGGUGGAGGCGCUCGGGAAGACAGAAGAGCUCGGGCGAGCGCGGGGCAUAGAGGCGCGUCGGCGUGGUGGACCGGCGCGAGCGAGCAACAGCGAGGUGGAAAGGCGCGGCAGGCGCGGGGAGAGGAGGGCGCGCGGGGCAGACGAGGAUGCGCGGGCGACGGCGUGGAGCGAGGGGAGGCGGCGCGCGAGGCCAGGGGAUAGGGAGCCCGCGGGAGAGGGAGGUAAGGGCGCCGGCCAUGGGGGAAGCACACGCGGCACAGAGGCAGGGAAGUGCCUGGGUGAAGGAAGAAGAAGGGGAGAAGAAGCAGGCGGCGGCAGGAGGAAGAAGGGGAGAAAGAAAAAGAAAAGUAAAAAGAAAAGGGAGAGUGGAUUAAAAAGCUAGGGUUAGGGUUAGGGUUUGGCUUAGAUGGGCUGGUUUUGGGCCCAACAAACAAUUGCACACAAAUUAAAUUAAUUUGAUAUUUAGUUUGAUUUUGAAAUAAAAUAGGAAGAGAGAGGGUGUAGGUUUAAUUAGAACCGGAAAUAAUUUGUCAAACUCAAAUAGGAUUUGUACAAAAUAAUUUUAGACUUUCGCUGAACACGCGAAAAGGCAAGCACAUGACAAC